rnacentral:sRNA from 1 species
GUACUAACCUAAACACUAACCACCUAACUAACCUAGAGAUUACCCUAAUCUAAUCCAUCCUCAAGAACCCUAAUCACUACUCAAGCAACAUUCUAAAGAACACAAACCCAAAAAUUACUAAAAUCAUACCAAAAUGUAGAUCUAAACAAGCUAAACAACUUUACCGAAGUCUUCCUUAUUU